rnacentral:rRNA from 1 species
GAUGAACGCUGGCGGUCUGCUUAACACAUGCAAGUCGAACGGAAUCCUUAGGGAUUUAGUGGCGGACGGGUGAGUAACACGUAAGAACCUGCCUCUAGGACGGGGACAACAGUUGGAAACGACUGCUAAACCCGGAUGAGCCGAAAGGUAAAAGAUUUAUCGCCUAGAGAGGGGCUUGCGUCUGAUUAGCUAGUUGGUAGGGUAAAGGCUUACCAAGGCGACGAUCAGUAGCUGGUCUGAGAGGAUGAUCAGGCACACUGGGACUGAGACACGGCCCAGACUCCUACGGGAGGCAGCAGUGGGGAAUUUUCCGCAAUGGGCGAAAGCCUGACGGAGCAAGACCGCGUGGGGGAGGAAGGUUCUUGGAUUGUCAACCCCUUUUCUCAGGGAAGAACGCAAUGACGGUACCUGAGGAAAAAGCAUCGGCUAACUCCGUGCCAGCCGCCGCGGUAAGAC